rnacentral:rRNA from 1 species
CCGAAUAAUAACAUCAAUAUCGCAUGAGAAGAUGUAGAAAGUCGCGUUUGCGACGCUUUUGGAUGGGGGGUGCGACGUAUCAGAUAGUUGGUGAGGUAAAUGGGCUCACCAAGUCAAUGACGCGUAGCUGUACUGAGAGGUAGAACAGCCACAAUGGGGACUGAGACACGGCCCAUACUCCUACGGGAGGCAGCAGUAGGGUAAUUUUUCACAAUGGGCGAAAGCCUUAUGAAGCAAUGCCGCGUGAACGAUGAAGGUCUUAUAGAUUGUAAAGUUCUUUUAUAUGGGAAGAAACGCUAAGAUAGGAAAUGAUUUUAGUUUGACUGUACCAUUUGAAUAAGUAUCGGCUAACUAUGUGCCAGCAGCCGCGGUAAAU